rnacentral:rRNA from 1 species
AACGAACGCUGGCGGCAGGCCUAACACAUGCAAGUCGAGCGCCCCGCUCGGGGAGCGGCGGACGGGUGUGUAACGCGUGGGAACGUACCCUUUGCUACGGAAUAGCCUCGGGAAACUGGGAGUAAUACCGCAUGUGUUCUUCGGGAGAAAGAUUUAUCGGCAAGGGAUCGGCCCGCGUUGGAUUAGGUAGUUGGUGGGGUAAUGGCCUACCAAGCCGACGAUCCAUAGCUGGUUUGAGAGGAUGAUCAGCCACACUGGGACUGAGACACGGCCCAGACUCCUACGGGAAGCAGCAGUGGGGAAUCUUAGACAAUGGGCGCAAGCCUGAUCUAGCAAUGCCGCGUGAGCGAUGAAGGCCUUAGGGUUGUAAAGCUCUUUCAGGGGGGAAGAUAAUGACAGUACCCCCAGAAGAAGCCCCGGCUAACUCCGUG